AUUGAACGCUGGCAGCAGGCUUAACACAUGCAAGUCGAGCGGGGUGAUGGUGCUUGCACUAUCACUUAGCGGCGGACGGGUGAGUAAUGCUUAGGAAUCUGCCUAUUAGUGGGGGACAACAUCUCGAAAGGGAUGCUAAUACCGCAUACGUCCUACGGGAGAAAGCAGGGGAUCACUUGUGACCUUGCGCUAAUAGAUGAGCCUAAGUCGGAUUAGCUAGUUGGUGGGGUAAAGGCCUACCAAGGCGACGAUCUGUAGCGGGUCUGAGAGGAUGAUCCGCAACACUGGGACUGGGACACGGCCCAGACUCCUACGGGAGGUAGCAGUGGGGGAUUUUGGACAAUGGGGGGAACCCUGAGCCAGCCAUGCCGCGUUUGUGAAGAAGGCCUUAUGGUUGUAAAGCACUUUAAGCGAGGAGGAGGCUCUUUUGGUUAAUACCCAAGAUGAGUGGACGUUACUCGCAGAAUAAGCACCGGCUAACUCUGUGCCAGCCGCCGCCGUAA
rnacentral:rRNA from 1 species